AUCCAUGGAGGGUAUUAGAGACAUAUUUGUGGUCUUGAUAUGGAACCUGAAAGAAAAGUUUAGCAUCAAAGUUAAAGUGGUAGAAAGGAGGCAUGGAAGAAGUGUUCAACACAUCUUGGGAAAAUCAAGAGGUCCAUCUUAUGGAUGGAAAGAAAGAAAGAAAUCCCGAGGGAUUCAUAAGCCACUGAGAUUGCUGAAUUUUCCCCUGGGUCUGUGGUUCCUACAGGAAGACUCGCAGCCUCACCGCAGGAGCUGAAGCGGUGUAUGGGAGAGAAGCAGAGUACUACAGUGACAAGUACACUGGGCAUGCCAAGAGGAUACCUACAAUCUAGUAUCUGAUGUGAAUGUUUCACUCAAAUAAAUGUGGAUAAUGUUUUGUCCAAAUUCUGUUUGAAACAUAAUGGUUG
rnacentral:lncRNA from 1 species